GAGUUCCCUUUGAAGAGCAAGCAAUCAUAGUACGGAGCAAGAUGAUUCGAAAUAGAGGGCUCUGUACUGCAGGACAACAUAUUCACUAUCAAUAUAUGGUCUAUUUCCAAUAUAAGGUGUAUGUCAAGUUAUACACUGACUACAGAAAGUGAUGCUCGACGACGAACAUCUGCU